rnacentral:rRNA from 1 species
GACGAACGCUGGCGGCGUGCUUAACACAUGCAAGUCGAACGGAAAGGCCCUGCUUUUGUGGGGUGCUCGAGUGGCGAACGGGUGAGUAACACGUGAGUAACCUGCCCUUGACUUUGGGAUAACUUCAGGAAACUGGGGCUAAUACCGGAUAGGAGCUCCUGCUGCAUGGUGGGGGUUGGAAAGUUUCGGCGGUUGGGGCUGGACUCGCGGCUUAUCAGCUUGUUGGUGGGGUAGUGGCUUACCAAGGCUUUGACGGGUAGCCGGCCUGAGAGGGUGACCGGCCACAUUGGGACUGAGAGACGGACCAGAAUCGUACGGGAGGCAGCAGUGGGGAAUAUUGCACAAUGGGCGGAAGCCUGAUGCAGCAACGCCGCGUGCGGGAUGACGGCCUUCGGGUUGUAAACCGCUUUCGCCUGUGACGAAGCGUGAGUGACGGUAAUGGGUAAAGAAGCACCGGCUAACUACGUG